rnacentral:rRNA from 1 species
UACGUAGGGACCAAGCGUUGUUCGGAUUUACUGGGCGUAAAGGGCGCGUAGGCGGCAAUUUCAAGUCAUCUGUGAAAUCUCCGGGCUUAACCCGGAACGGUCAGAUGAUACUGCUUUGCUAGAGUGCGGAAGGGGCAAUCGGAAUUCUCGGUGUAGCGGUGAAAUGCGUAGAUAUCGAGAGGAACACCUGAGGUGAAGACGGGUUGCUGGGCCGACACUGACGCUGACAGCGCGAAAGCCAGGGGAGCAAACGGG